rnacentral:tRNA from 1 species
CGGGGCGUGGCGCAAUCUGGUAGCGCGCCUGCUUUGGGAGCAGGAAGUUGGAGGUUCAAAUCCUCUCGCCCCGA